CGAUAGCGUAUAUUUAAGUUGUUGCAGUUAAAAAGCUCGUAGUUGGAUUUCGGGUGGGAAUGGCCGGUCCGCCGUUUCGGUGUGCACUUGCUACGCCCACCUUGCUGCCGGGGACGUGCUCUUGAGUUCACGCUCGGGACACGGAGUCGGCGAGGUUACUUUGAGUAAAUUAGAGUGUUCAAAGCAGGCCUACGCUCUGAAUACAUUAGCAUGGAAUAACACGAUAGGACUCUGGCCUAUCUUGUUGGUCUGUAGGACCGGAGUAAUGAUUAAGAGGGACAGUCGGGGGCAUUCGUAUUUCAUUGUCAGAGGUGAAAUUCUUGGAUUUAUGAAAGACGAACUACUGCGAAAGCAUUUGCCAAGGAUGUUUUCAUUAA
rnacentral:rRNA from 1 species